CACGGUACAUGACAAUCCUCCCACGAACCCUCAACAGGGUGCCCAGGCGUACCACCUCCGACAUUUUCGAUGCCAUCUCUCCAGUUGGAUCAGAAUCUGAUGAACUGUUUGCAUUCAGGUACUGGUGGUUCAGCCACAAGACACAUGGCACACAGCCAGUGCCAUCAUCAACCAGGAAGCGCAGAAACUUCUCCAUGUGGUCACGUGAAACAACAACCCCGACAACUUCGGCACGAGCAACCGUACGGCCACAGCGAACAAAGGAAGGCGGCGAUGUAUGUCGGGGAGUUAGCGUGAGAAGGCCGGUAGCCAGAAGUUUGAUGUGCACAAGAUGAAGGGAGUCCAUGAUGAGCCUGCAUACAACCAAUGACAUGAGGCAAUGAAGUUCAGAGAAGAGAUCUAACUAGGGCUUCACAUUUUUAUCACACAUGAUGAAAAUUUAAGCAAAAAGCUAUGUAAAUUAUUGGCGGAGCCAGGAUUCAAGCAGGCCGGGCUAAAAGUUUAACGCUUAUAACAAACCAGAAAAUUAUCCCAAUAGCUCAAUUGCACAGUUAUCGAGAAUUAGAAAUCGAGAUUUAACGAUCCAACAAAAUAUAUAAUCAUGACCAGAAUUACAAGUAAUAGUACAAGACAACAUUUUCUGGAUUGAGUUGAACACGAGGUUUCAGAUUCUGUACUGUUAAUUGGUUGGUUUCAUAUUCUGCAGCAAACCAUGGCGAUGCUCCUGUCUCCAAUGCGCGGGCCGCCGCAUCGCGAGAAGCAGAUGGGCGCGGGGAGAAAACCCCCACGCACAUUUUCAAGGAAACCACACACUGGCAAAACCACACAUGGCGACUCGAAUUCAUUGAAGUUCAGAACAGGGAUACAUAUUGCUCUGCUUGUAGUAGUUACAGAACCAGACGUGUACUGGAUCCUGCAUCUCUGCACUUGUAGCAGCUGCAGACUAAUCUAACAGUACAACAUUGAAUCAGUGCAUACACUUAACAUCUCACCGACCUAAUCUAACAGUACAAGACUGAAUCAAUGCAUAUCCUUCAAUUUCUACGAUUCGAAUGAAUAACAUUCGCGGUAGGGUUCAGAGCUUUUUUUUUUUUUGAGACAAGUAGGGUUCAGAGCUGAAGGGCUGGCGCUGCGCUGGGCGUACUGGGCUGGCUCCUGGCGCAUCAGCAACGGCCGAGUGUCUGGGCCUGUUGAAGGCUUCAGCCCAGGCCCAGGUUUGGCCCAGACCGUUUAGGCCCAGUUCAAUCCACGAGACGAGAGGGCAAAACCUACCUCCCCUCCCCUUCCCCCCUAAACGCCGCCGUCACGCACUGCCACAAGCAGUCCACCACUCACCUCUCUUGCUUGCCGCCGGCGACCAUGGCGGACGCCGCGAGAGGAGCAACGGCGCCGCCUCCCGGCGGCAGCCUCCCAGACGAGAUCACCAUCUGGGAGAUCCUCGUCCGUCUGCCCCCCAAAUCGCUCCUCCGCUGCCGCGCCGUCUGCCGCGCAUGGCGCAGCGCCACCUCCACCCGCCAAUUCCUCCUCGCCCACCACGCCCUCCAGCCCGCCCUCCCCCUCCUCUACGGCUACAACUUCGUCGGCGACGAGGUCGAGUCCCUCGACAUCAUCCCCUUCCACCAGCGGGCAGGCGCCGACCAGCCCCAGCUCCAGCUCCACCCCGUCGCGCGGCUUGAGCAAGACUCCGACUUCCACCAUCUGGAGGCCUGCUGCGACGGCCUCCUGGUCCUCUCCUUCCGCCACACCAGCGUCCGUGACUGGCGCUUCGCCGUCUGCAACCCCUCUACUCGUCAGUACGCGCCCCUCCCGUUGCCUUAUGGCUGUAACAUCGAGUACUCGCUCCUCGGGAUGUACCGGCACAUCCCCACCGGCGACUACCGACUGUUGAUGUACCGGGACUCAGUAUUGAUGCCUCAUGAACUGGUACCUGACCCCCCUGAAGACGGCUCCUACAUCUUCACGUUAGGCUCGGGCCAGCCACCGAGGUACAUAGGGUUCCCCGAUGCGCAGGUGCUGACAUACACCUUUGGAUCUCUCCUGUUUCGUGGCUGCCUGCAUUGGCACCCACCAGGCAGCACGAUAACGGUGUUCGACACCACUACUGAGUUGUUCUGGCAGAUGCGUGCUCCGGUUGUUACUGGCCAUGCUAAGUUGUUUCAGAUGGAUGGAAUGCUUGGCAUGCCCGGCUUUAAUGAUGCUGCGACAGCCAUUGAUAUCUGGGUGGCGCAGGACUAUGAGAGGGAGGUCUGGGCCUGCAAAUACCGGGUAGACUUCUCAUUUGCAGACCUCACUCUGCAGUUUGGCAAGUUGGACGAAAGUUCUUGGGUGGUGGCUGUGCCUUGGGAUGGUGACGUGCUCCUACUGAUCAAUUUUGGUGAGCGGCUACUUCAGGUUGACAUUGAGGGCAAGUUGGUCGCUACUUCCCAUCGCAGAGGCCUCGGUCCUGCAAAUCUUUGGCUCAAGCAAACUCUUGUUCAACAUACCUUCUUUCCAACACUCGAGGGUUAUGUUGCCAACUCUGCACCUUUCAUCUGACGGAUGUUAUAUCAAGUGGUGAUUCUAGCCCAACUUUCAGUAUCCUCAUGAGCUGCAGUGUGUAUGAAUUCGGUCCACUAUGAGCCAGCUAGUUUCAUUUUGAUGCAUAGACAAGUUAUGAUCAACAAGCUUGACUGUUUCAUGGUUAUGUUUAUAUUUCUUUGAAUAUUCUUCUGGGCUGAAGUGGCUACUGUGAGUCUUGAUGCUAAAUUGCAAGUCUUUCUUAAAGGUCAUCCAGUGGUUUCUGUUGUAAUUCCUUUUUUUCUGUUGUAUUGUUUGGAAUUGUGUCUCACUUAGCUGCUAAGCAUUUUAUGGAAUUAAUAGUGCAUAUGAAGUUCGACUCUGAAGAAAUAAUGCUUCUACUGACAAGCAGAAGUUUGUACUGUGUCUAGGGAUGGAUGCUUGGGUUUUCAUUAAUGAAAAUCGGAAGGGGUGAAGCCCUUCUUUUAUUCAAAAAAAAGCUAACAAGCAGAAGAAAAGAUUGACAUGGUCAGGUCCCAAAUUAUGUUCGUGUUGAGGCACUGGAACUUCCAGCCAUGUUCAUUUUUCUCUCGAGGCGACGAGAUGUCAUAUUGAGUAUCAUUGGCCGAAAGCAGAUUGCCCCAAGCAGGAUCACACCAUGAUUUGUGUGGCAAUAAAAUUGUAGAAAUAAGUUAAAAAAACACACUCUGGUCAUUUGUUACUGGAUGUAAUUGCUCAGCUCCUCACAUCACUUGUAGGCUACCCACAGUCAGUUUUCUGUUGCAUGCAUGUGUGAGAUAAAUGUACAUGUUGGCGAAAAACUAUUUCGAUUGUGUGGUUACAGCUUACACUAUCGAUGCAAUAUAUAUGUUUGACAUCCAGAUUGAUGUAUUCCAGUAUGUUUGAUCGAUCUGAAACAUGCAAAAAGUCUUUUCAGCUUAAACUGUAUUAUCUGCUUUUUGUGUCGAGCCAAUACGACAUCUGAGUACAUGAGCAAGAGCUGAAGUCCUCCUUUGGCUAAAUUAUUGUGUUGCUUUGAGGGCUGUUUAGACUGUAAAAAUAUCUGGUUAGUCAGAGCUGUAGUCCAAGGCUUGUAUUUCUGUUUUUAAAAGUGUGCCUGGUGAUUGGUACAGCGAGUGUGGUAGCGUUAGUCUGGACGGGGUCUAUUGUCGAUCAAUAAGGCUCAUGGCCUGCCUCCUCUCCUAGAGCGGCAAUAAAAAAGAGAGUUCUGGAGCCGUUCCCUGUGAGAUUUGUAAAACUUAAUGUCGAUGCAUUUUUUGAUUAUGAUCAGCUUAGGGGCACUGUUGGGGCGGUCCUCACGAAUGAUAAAGGUAAAUUCAUUGCAGGGGGCAGGGGGAAUGGGAAUAUAGAAUCUUAGAUUCGGGUUGUCUCUUGCGCAAAGGAUGGGAUGCAAUCAUCUUGUCAUUAAUUCUGACAGUAUGGAGGUUAUCGAAACUAUGAAGAGCAGAAGAUGUUCUACGGGAGCGGCGGCAUCGGUUUUUGACAGAUGUUAUCAUUUGGCGUGCGAUUUUACUAUUUGUAGGUUCAAACAUUGUAAUAGAAAAGCAAAUAAGGUAGCUCACUGACUAGGGUGGCUAGAUUUUCAUCCACUUUUGAUUGGUUUGAGGAACCUAAUGAAAUUGUAAUCCUAAUCAUUGCCGAUGUAUCUAUUAUAUCUAUUGAAUAAAGUUUGUUGGGUUUUUGAUUCAACAAAAAUAAGGCUCAUGGCUUACAUCAAUGGUUCACAUUGCACAUAGUGAGCGCGUUGAUCUACCAUCUCUUCUUCGUGGGAGAGUGGGCGUCAUAAUAUGUGUUAGAAGGGGUACGCGUCUGUGUGGCCCUUAUAAAAUUAUGAAAUUAAACUUUUUGUUGAAUGUUCUAGUUAUGAAUUCAGAUGUGUUUCACUUUGUAUUAUCCUUGCUACAACUUCGUUUUGAAUUCAAUUGAAGCCAGUUAGUGUUAUGUUAAUGAAAAAAAACUUAGUGCUAGCUGCAUGCGGCUGGAUAAGAAGGGCCUGAAGUCUCUCUGAGUCCCUUCUGAAUCAAGACUGGUUUCAGAUCAACUUUUUCGCCUCAGAGAUAAGAGCAUUCCUAGCAGACCCCUUAAAAGCCAGCCCUUAGAAACCCUUUAAACCCUUUUUAGGUGCGAAACUAGGCCGAAAAGAACAGACACCGUAUCACCAACUAUAUCUGGAACGAUACAUCAAGCAAUCGNNNNNNNNNNNNNNNNNNNNNNNNNNNNNNNNNNNNNNNNNNNNNNNNNNNNNNNNNNNNNNNNNNNNNNNNNNNNNNNNNNNNNNNNNNNNNNNNNNNNNNNNNNNNNNNNNNNNNNNNNNNNNNNNNNNNNNNNNNNNNNNNNNNNNNNNNNNNNNNNNNNNNNNNNNNNNNNNNNNNNNNNNNNNNNNNNNNNNNNNNNNNNNNNNNNNNNNNNNNNNNNNNNNNNNNNNNNNNNNNNNNNNNNNNNNNNNNNNNNNNNNNNNNNNNNNNNNNNNNNNNNNNNNNNNNNNNNNNNNNNNNNNNNNNNNNNNNNNNNNNCCCUAGCCUAGUCGCGCUCCAUCCCGGCCGCCCCCGCCCCCGUCGUGCUUCGCCCCACCCCGGCUACGCCCGCCGCCGCCGCGCUCUACCCCGGCCAUGCCCGCCCCUGUCACACCUCCCCCGCCCCGGCCACGCCUCUUUCGCCCUUCUCCGCCGCCGCCCCGCUUUGAUUCGGGCCGCCGGCAGCCUACUCCACCCCGCCCGUGGCCGACCUCGCCAUGGCAGUGAAGGUCGAGCCGGCGAGAGUUUGGACUGGCAGCGACAAAUUCUGGCGUGCGGCGACCUUUUCUAAUGUGCGGCGAUGGAUUCCGGCGAGUUUCAGGUUGAUUCUAGCCAGUUCUGCGGCGGCGCAUCUGCUCUGACGAGGUUUGAUCGUUUACGGGUUGAAUGUAUACUACCUUCCAACCUAUACAUAUAAGGUUCUCGCGGAUGGAUUCUCCAUGCCCCUUAAAAUUUUAAGGGUCGAUCGAACUUUACGGGAUCAACUAGGGACCGUUUUUUCGACCGAAACUGUAAAUUCCAGAUUUUUUACGGGUUUGACCGCUUUUAAGGGGUCUGCUAGAGAUGCUCUAAGAUUGCUCAAUCCCAUCAUUGUUGUCUCGGAAUUAGGAUUUGUUUACCCAGUCCCUGAGAUUGUCGCCUACCAGGAAUAUAUUGCAAGAUUUGGUUUGAUGCUUAUGCCCAAAAGAGCACGCAACCAGGACAAGAGGGUGCUUGGAUCCAAGGGACUUAUUUUAGUCUGAGUAAAAAUAGUCUCUUUAAGAGGCUAAAGUUCCAAGCACCCCUGACUAAAGAGGGGCUAAAACUAGUCUUGAGACUAAAUUUUUUUAGUCAGGGGUACCCCUACUAAAAUGUAGAUUAGCCCUUUCUCUCCUCAUUUAACUCCUCUCCUUUAACACAAGGGAGUUCUGGAUUGGAGGGUUUGGAGGAUAAUAAAUGCUCGUUAACUUGAUUUUAGUCUCUUUAGUAUUUGGAUACAAGUAUGGGUGAGGCUAGCAAAUUUUAGUCCCACUACUUUUAGUCAUGGGACUAAAACGUAUCCAAGCACCCUCUAAAUAUUUGUGAUGGAAAAUAUGAAAUAAUGACAUGCUCCGCAGAUCAGGCGAUAGUGUGAGUGGCCCUAUUACAGAUCACGCGAUAGUGUGAGCCGCACUAUUAAUGACAUGAAUAAAGGAAACUGAAACAAACUUCAAUGCUAAGGGCAUCUCCAGCCGCGCCCCCAACAGGCCCCCCCAGGCCACUUUUUCGGCGCCGGCGCCGAAAAAACGGCCCAGUCGCGCCCCCAGGACGCCGAAAAUCGCCGGUUCGGACCUUUUUUCCGCCCGGCGGUCACAGGCCGAACCCGGCGCGCUGGGGAGCCGUUGGGGGCUCCGGCGCUAGGGAAAAGCACGUCUGGCCCACACCGACAGGGGAAAAGUCAAGGUUUUCUUCCCCCGACUCGCCUCGCACCCCCGCACCCUCGGCCACCACUAGCUAUAUACCGGCGACGGGCGCCGGCCUACUCCGCUAGAUAGCCAUUCCCCGCCGGAAAAUAGCAGCGCUUCGCCGCGGCAGCCCCUCCCGCAGCAGCUGGGCGUUUCCGGCCGCCGUUUCCGACUGCGGAGGCGCGGUUUAACGGCGGGUACACGCCCACCGAGCGCAAGGUGUUCGGCGUUUUGACUGUGCCGGUGAUGGACUCAGAUGAGGAGGAAGAGCUCGCCACGCUGCUGGAGGAGGAAGCCGCGGCCGACGUCCAGGAAGAAGAGCAUCUGAUGGUGCUCGCCGCCCUCGCCCAGCUGCUGGCGAGCAAUGAAAAGCCGCGUCGAGGUGGCUCGGCGCCGGGGCGGGUGAAAGCAAAGAACCGGCAUCGUCUGCACGGCUACUGCAUGCUCUACUCCGACUACUUCGCCGAUGCUCCACUUCAUGGCGGGAGAACAUUUCGGCGCCGUUAUCGGAUGAGCCGAAAGCUCUUCCUCAGGAUUGUGAAUUCCAUCCGGGAGUUCGACAACUACUUCAAGUGCAAGAUGGAUUGCACUGGCGCUCUUGGAUUCACCUCCAUCCAGAAGUGCACGACACCGAUGAGGAUGCUUGCAUAUGGAGCUCCCAGUGAUUCACUCGACGACUAUGGGCGCAUGGCCGAGUCCACCAGCAUAGAGUGUUUCUACAAGUUCUGUCGGGCGGUGGUGGCAGUGCUUGGGCCACAAUACUUGAGAACACCCAAUGCGGAAGACACUGCUCGGAUCCUAGCCCAGAAUGCAGCAAGAGGAUUUCCUGGGAUGCUUGGAAGCAUCGACUGCAUGCAUUGGAAAUGGAAGAACUGCCCAUUUGGUUGGCAGGGGAUGUACAAAGGCGCCAAAGGCGGUUGCAGUGUGGUGCUUGAGGCGGUAGCCACACAGGAUCUCUGGAUUUGGCACUCCUUCUUUGGUAUGCCAGGAACUCACAAUGCCAUCAACGGGUUGAGAACGUAUCCUGUGCAACGACGAGACUGGUGUAACGAGUGCUCCGAGAGAUUCUGCGCCACUGGAUGGAAAACUGAUGGCACAGAUUUAUCACGCGAAGGGGUGCUGGUACGUUUUACAUCUUAGGCCUUGCAGGAUCAUUGAAGUCUGAAUAGUCCUCAACACACCUCUCGUCUCUUUCCUUUCUGUUCUACUCUCUCUGUAGUCGCGUUCUCGUCUGUGCCAUGCCGUCAGCUGCGACCUAGGCCACUCUACAUCAUCCCUCCUGUGUCCUGUACCUGGUCCAGCACCGUUCAAUCCCCAGCGCCUCUCCUCUCCCCUGAAACGGCCGCGCCGCCGGAGAGCGCGUAAAUAUAGCGCCACCGUGCUGUAACUCCGGGGACGACAAUCGCACCGCCAAAAAGGAACCGGCUAUCUUCUGCACCUCAAGGAUCUAGUGUAUGCCCAAACCACUUCUUUUGUCUGUACCCUUUGCAACUCCACUAAAGUAGUAUGGUUGCCAUCUUUCAUUCCAUAGUAGAUGAACAUCAUUUACAUAAGUCACAGGCUCAAAACCGAGAAUGUUUAUGACCUGCUUGGAUCCCCUCAAAGGAAGCACCUCAAGUUGGGACUGAUCGACUCAUUUUUCAGGUGAAUAGAAAGAGUGGACAGGAGUUACGUAAAUCUGCAGUUGUUGUUUUCUCUUUCUUUUGCAAGGGACGCUUUAACUAUUAUUGUGAAUCGAGGAAUCUGCAGUAUGGUUGUUCUGUGGAAAAGAAUGACAUUUCCCAGAUUUGAUUAUUUAUAUGACAGAAUUAAGAGACGCUUUUGUAUGAGAGUAUUUACAAUUCAUAUGCAGUGUCAUACUCUCUGGAGAAGUUGCACCAAGGCUUCAAGAUGUAAUGAAGUAGUUUCAUUGAGGAUACAAUUGUCACGUAGAAGUUUACUAAAAUUAGGAUAUGAUAGUAAAAGCUCCAGAAAAUUUGACAUGGCCACUGUCGUAUACACAUUUGGAAACAGUGUGUACAUAUAUGUAGAAUAAAACCACAAUUGCUCAAACAGUGUAAUUUCUCGCAUGCGAGCACAGGCGCAAGCAUCAGACUUAGUUCAGAAACAGUUGGAAAAUAAAUAGUGAUAACCACAGGUUGGCCAAAGUACAAGCAGAAUCAUCAGCUAAAAUAAAUGUCGUCCAACAGUCACGCUUGAAAGAUCGAGCAUUAGCGCAGAUGGGAAAUCACAACAUGGUUCCUUCUGGAUGACACAGGGCCUCAAACUCGUUUGCACAUCCUGUUAAGAAUCAUCUACUCCAAUCAAUAUCUACAAUUACAGUUCACACGGUACUACAAGUACAUGUACCAGGAAUUAGCAAGAUGACUCCAGGACAUGUACGCUAGAUCAAUAUUGUUGAUUCUAAAAGCGUUGUUAGAACAUGGAUUGCAACAAGAAAAAAAAAGGCAUGAAUAAGAUGAACUAGUAAUGCUAUGAGAAAAUUCAAUUGGAUAUCAAAGUGCAGUUUCAUUAAGAUCAACAAAGUGAACCAGAAGAAAACACAGCAGAUAUAAUCUAUCUCCAGGCACGUCCGCUAACUCCCUGUUAACCAUUCUUUCACAUGCAAGUCAUAACAUUCAUGCACAAAACUUACUUUAAAGCUUCAAGGACAUAUAGAUACUCUUUACAAAUCAAGGAUGGGAACAACAAGCACAUCUCUUUUCCUGAUUACUAGUCUAAUAAAAGCUGCAAUUGGGGGAAAUUGACAAAAGGAAAGAAACAUAGUGCAUGGAUAAUCGAAUAGUAGUCAUACCCCCAGAAGGAUGAAGCCAAGUGUUGAGAUGAUUAGAUGAUUCUGCAUCAUAACAUAGUAUUCAAGCCUGAAUUUCAGAGAAUUUCAUAAGGAGCAUAGUCCUGCAUGCAAAAGUAAAAAAGAUCAUCAAUAGAAUUUCAGAGACAAAAAGUACCAACUACCAAGGGAGUACUCGUAAGGAAUAAUACAUUAAUACUUAAUGGGAUUGGAUUUGUAAAUGUUGGAUUUAAGCUGGGAAAUGAUGGCAUAGGCUAGAAUUAACCAAAGCUAAAAACAAGUUGCAGUUGAUUCGUGCAGGCAUAAACAGAAGGGAAAAUGAUGUAAAGUAUAGAGGUGCGGCAAAUAAAACAAAUGACACAGCUCGAUCACAUAAAAAAUAGUUCUAGUAAGUCUAGUAUGUAUGAACUAUGAAGCAGAUCUUAAAACUCAUUAAACAAUUUUUCUUCUGGGGAAUUAACUGCAGUAGAACAAAGCAAAGCUUGCAGCAGUGAAAGAUAUGUUCAGCAAAUUUGAUUUGGCUAUUCUGCUGAUGUUUCACUUGUAGAAGUACCAUAUUACCAGAGCAUAGCUCUGGAAGAUUCGGUCUUAUUUUCCUGUUGGCAGGGUCUGCUAUUUCUUUUAUCUAAUGAUGAAGCAAUCGCCCCAUUCUGCAAGAAACACACCAAUGUCAUGGUUAGUGCAGAGUUGUGGGCGCGGACGAAAGAAAGGAAUGAGUGUGCACAUAAUUUUCGCACACAAGAACCAGAGGCAAAUGUGAUCGAAAAAUUUCACGAGCACGCCAAUGAAUAUUCACAUAAAAACGUGUGGUAAUAGGAACAAUAAGAUCCAACUAGUUUUGAGGAACUGAUGGCCCUAAACUGACAACAAAUUUGAGCAACCAGCAAGCAGUAGCACACCUAUCUGUGUUCCGCCUGCUACCACUGAGCUCGAGCCGACGACUGUGAUUUCUUCAUAUAAAAGUACUAACUAUCAUGUGGAAACGUUUAUAAAAAUGAAUUGGGGAAAAGUACGAUUAGAUUGGAAGAACGGUUAUACUCAUGGAUAAGGGAAGAAGAGAACAUACCCUUCAUAGUUGAAUCGCGGAAGACCGUCAACUCCUGUACCUCUAUAGAAUCGACGCCCCGGACGACGACAUCGGACAUAGACGAGCCAUCGCUGCCAAAUAAAUCAACGCGCACAGUCGAUUCAGAGGAACACAGGGCGAGAUUAAGCUUCUAUGCCGUAGAUCCUUACCCAGGUACAUGAGAGGGAGGAGAGAGAGAGAGAGAGAGAGAUAUGACACCGGGCACAUUUUUCCAACCCUAGCUCCCACCUGCUCCCAUGGAUUACGGCGGCACGGGAGAGAAGAGAAGGCAGAGGAAGGGAAACGAUGAGAGAGAGGACGAGUACAGAAUUCUGAGCCACUUUAAGGUUAAAUCUGCAAAAGUACCAGCAGCUCCCCUUGCAGAUGCAUACUGUCCCUUGGUUCCGCAUCCAGUGGCGCAGAAUCUCUCGGAGCACUCGUUACACCAGUCUCGUCGUUGCACAGGAUACGUUCUCGUGCUGCAGUGCUCUUCUGUUUUUGCCAAGCUCGUUGAGGGCCAUUCUCCUCCGGUGAACUUCGAGAUCAAUGGGCACCAAUACAACAAGGGGUACUAUCUAGCUGACGGCAUCUAUCCAAGAUGGUCGACAUUUGUGAAGACGAUCUCAAACCCUGUGGCAGGAGGCAAGAACGCCUGGUUUGCGAAGGUUCAGGAGGCUUGCAGGAAGGAUGUUGAGCGGGCAUUUGGUGUGCUCCAAUCUCGAUUCGUUGUUGUUCGGUACCCCGCUCAGACCUGGUCGAAAGAUCAAAUGUGGGAGAUCAUGACUUGCUGUGUCAUCUUGCACAACAUGAUCAUCGAGAGCGAGCAAGAAGACCCAGUGUUUGACACUGAACCAUACUACAGGCAGGGUCCUCUAGCCGAAGUUGAUCGCCAGCUACCGGCAACUUGGACUGCCUAUCUCAGUAUGCGUCAGGAGAUCCGAGACCCACAGGUGCAUCAUCAACUGCAGAAAGAUCUGAUUGAGCACCUAUGGAGGCUCAAGGGGGACGUCGCGUGAUGAAAUACGAGUUUUUAUUUGUUGAACUAUAUAAUUUGUAUUGAACUAUUUGUUGUUGUAGUAUUUUGUUGAAGUAUUUGAUUUUUCUGUGAUGAAAUAUGUGUGUGUUGAUAAUUGAACGCCGAAACCACGCCGAAUAUGGGCCUAUUCUCGCCCAUAUUGGCCGUUUAUUCGCCGAAAAUGGGCUGCAAAGUGGGCCAAUUUCAGCGCCUGGGGGCGGGCUGGGGGCGACGACUGGGCGCAAAACCGCCCCCAGCGCCGAGUGUGUCGCCGGCUCGCCCCCAGGCGGCGCUUUUAGACGCCCCCUGGGGGGCCAACGGCUGGAGAUGCCCUAACAACUUGAUAUCAUGGAUAGCAUCAAGAAUAACGCCAGGAAGAGUAAUAGGUUAAAGCAUAUCAGGUGGCCACAACAUCAGCACUCAGCAACACAUCAAUCUUUCUUCUGUAUCUCUAAUAAGUGAAAAUCUUUGUUACUUCUGUCUUUUGACCAUAAAAUAAAUUUCUGUACUUGUCAUGACGUACAGCAUGGUUUAUUAAAAAAAAGUAGAAACUGUUAUACUCCAGAAUCCAUACUAGAGUGGAAAAUACAGAUACAACAAAAUUUUCUGUAAGGCAUGCCAUGCCACAUCAAAAGAGAACUACAGUGCGUGUGAUUCCGGUGGCAGCUGAAUCCUUUAGCAGAUUGCUGGGACAACUGAGAAACAGUGCACGGGCAAAACUCAAAAACUUCGAGAGCCUACUGCCCCUCUAUUACUGUAAGAGUCUCCGUAUCCACAGAGUUCUGACCGUAUUCUGCUCUCUUUGCUACCUUAUUCCUCUGAGAAAAAUAUAGUGGCUUAUCAGGCGUUGCAAGUGGUGUGCUUCUACUCUCCAAGGUUGAUACAACAGUUGACAUGAGUGGUCUGGCAUCCGGGUCAUCUUGAACACACAAGAGCCCAACAUGGAUGCAACACAAAACUUCUUCAUUCGAGCAGCUCUCUGAAACAGAUGGAUCCACCAGAUCUUUUGCUAGCCCUUCCCUCCAUAGACUCCAUGUCUGAGCAAAUAAAAUCAAAAUUUCAAGUCGUGUGGUCAAGGCAUUAUGGAGACUGAAAAAUGAUAAAUCAUAAUCUUACAUAUAUUAUAAGGUUGGGGAACUCCUUGAUGUUCUGCGUUGAGCUUAUCCUUAGACCACUUACAGUUUCCAUGAGCAAUACCCCGAAGCUAUAGACAUCAGACUUAACAGAAAAGAGGCCUUCCAUUGCAUAUUCCGUUGACAUAUAACCGCUGGAUAAAUCAUAUCAUCAGCAAGACUUGCAUGUUUCGAGUUGAGUUUAACUAUGUAUGACUUUAAUGAAUAACUACACGCAAGAUAGUAAUCCUACUUACUAUGUUCCGACAACUCGGUUAGUGUUUGCUUGUUGCUCAUCUCCGCCAAAGAUUCUUGCCAUUCCAAAAUCAAAUAUCUUGGGAUUCAUGUCUCCAUCUAGCAAAAUGUUGCUUGUUUUGAGUUCCCUAUGGAUUAUCAUCAGUCUUGAAUCUUGAUGGAGAUAGAGUAGCCCUCUAGCCACUCCUUUUAUUAUAUUGAAUCGUGUCGGCCAAUGAAGCAUUGGCUUCUUUUCAGAAUCUGCAAUAAUAGUAUGGGAUUGGGAUUAUGAUUUCAGAUGUGGCAUCAAAUGAUUUUUGACUGAUUAAUUUGUGGUCAGAACAUACUGAAAAGGAAGGUGUCCAGGCUUUUGUUUGGUAGAUACUCAUAAAUAAGUAGCUUUUCAUCACCCUGCACACAAUAACAGAGAAGCCUUACAAGGUUUUUGUGUUGCAGUUUAGCAAUCACAACUACUUCAUUCCUGAAUUCUAUUACCCCCUGCCUAGCACCUCUACUCAGCCUGUUAACGGCAACUUCUUUGUUGCCACGUAAGAGCCCCUGCAUUAUAGCAACGGGGAGAAAAUUAAGGUUACAAAAUAGUAUGGUUCAGUUUUGAAUCACAGCAAAAAGUGGCAAAAUUUUCAUAUGUCGAUGCAAUUAGGGGCACACUGUAGAGUCUAUAUUUACCUUGUAAACUUGCCAAAGCCACCUUCUCCGAGUAAAUUGUACAUAGAGAAGUUGUUUGUUGCAUCGACUAUUUCCUCAAAGCUAAUAAAUGGAAGUUCAUGAGUUUCCUCUCCAAGUCCAUCACUAACGCGCAAAUCCCCCAUCAUCGGUCUCUUCAGUCUUUCUUUUUUGUCAUGUUUGCCUAAGAGAAAUAUCAUCUUUGUCAUCCUAAAAAGGCCACAAUAUGUGUCCUCCAAAUUGCUUCAAGAAUUAAAUCAAUGGACUACCUUUAAACUUGUGGAACCAUACAAGGCAUGCCAAUAGAAGUAUCAGCAACACACUUGCUGACAUUGCUGGUAUAACUUUUAUUACGAUGCUCUUUCGCCCUUUGCCUAAAAAGGAACGAUGCUACGAAGUUUAAUUUAUUGCAAAACUUUACUUUAAUAGUGUUAUCUAAGUAUCACGAGUAACCAAGUUAAUUGCAUCAGGAAUGUUUUACAUGUGCACUUGGGCUCACUACCUGUACCGCCACUUUGGCAUAUUAAAUGCAUUGACAUAUAUACAUGGUACAAACACGAACCAAAUGACAACAUCAUGGAGAUAGCACAUACAGUCGAAUAGUUUGAAUACUGAAAGCAUAGCUUUUCGGUUUAGCAUGUUAGGAUUCUGAGAAUUAAUGCCCUCUAGUGAUUUUGCUGCCUGUAGUGGUGGAGCCAAAGUGUCAGCAACUCACAAUUUAUUAGCAAGUUAAAGCAGCAAGUUGUCAUUCUCUGCUUUUUAUGUUACAUGCAAAUUCUUAAACUGAAACAUUCAUGGACAUAAACAAGAGCAAUAGAAAGAGGAAUGUACUUGACAAGGCAGUAAGCCGGAGAUACAGGUUCUCAUUGCCGACGGCGCCACCCUUCUCCACGUCAAUCAGCUCCCUGGUCCACAGCAGGCACCUUGUUGCAUCCCCAUCAAUGUUGCUGGUGCUUAGAUUAGCAUAAGCAUACGCUACACAUGAGCAAUUUUUGCUGCACUCCACUGCACAGUCAUCAUAGCUUUUAUUCCACAGGCGUAUGAAUUUGUCUGGCACCUUCAUUGCUGGCAAGGUCAAGAAACGGUCCUCUCCACCACAUUGCAGUUCCUCCUUUCGCCGGCAACCAUGAAAAAAACUGCCUCUAACCCACUCUGUUUUGUUACUAGGGACAAACUCAUCAAGGCACUUGCAUGUGGGAGUUGCCUCUGUGUUGUCGCAGUAGCCGUAUGCACCACAAUAUCCAUCGAGAUUGCACUCGUAAGCUGACAACUGUUGAAGGGCGGUCCAAUCUGUCAAGCUGGUAUUCCAUCUCAACAGCAUCGUCUUUCCGGAGUAGUCAACCUUGUAAAAUAUCCUGGAGGAGCCAUCUGAUAGUCCAAAUGUUGAAUAGGUCUCAUCGUCCGUGCCCUUGUUAAUUGUCAAAUACAUGAGCGAACUAACGGUCUGCAGUUCCAUGUUGGAGUAUACAUAGUUGUUCCACACUGGAGCAUGCCAGUAUGGCACUGACCCAUCCCAGACGAAGUACUGUAGGGGAGUGGCAAGGUCUUUCCCAGCAGAGAACCUGCCUUUUGACGGAUCAUCAGGGCCCUUCCAAGAGAUGAUCCGCCAUGGUGGGUGUGUCUUGUGGGUGUCCCGCAUAGGCAUACCAGCAAGGACGACGUCGCUUGGGUUUUCGAAGCUCUGCCAUAACAUGGCACCGUCUGAUGAUAGGACUACAAGAUUGCCACUGUUGAGAAGUUUGGCUGAAGAGUUGCUGCCAGUAAUUGUGUUUGCCAUCCAAAGUAUGUGGCGGCCAUUGGUUUGAGACAACACAAGGCUCGAGCUGUUGGUCAUAGAAAGCACCGUGGAUGAAGCAUCGGUGAUCGGACUAUCGCGGUUGGCAACCCAGACAUGUCGUUGAACCAUAUGCCAACAUACAUAUUUUUAGUUGACUCUGAGGGGGUAAAGAAGCCUAAGGCGAACGAACCUUGGUCCGAGGUGAGAGUUUUGCCAGGAGUGAGUCUCAUGCCAGUGACAAGCACACUAACAGAUGCGCACAGAAGCGCUGAACUGAAGGGCCAAGGAAUCAGGAGCAUGAUGACGACCAAGUGGAGAGAAGGCGGAUGCAUGCUUACCCCCUUCUUUGAGUUACAAGUGAUGAGGAUUCAGGAGCAGAGAAGGGGAUAGGAUUGGGUGGAGAAGAGAGAGGAAAAUUUAGAGUGAACUACGAAAACUAACCCUGCAGUUGAAAUAGGUGAACUGCUAUUACAUUUCCUUCUUUGUCAAUAGUUGACAUAGACGGUGAAGUGUGAACGGAGGGCAGUAUUUCAAAUUCUCAAUACCAUGUGGUUCGACUGGUGGAAUGGAUUCUAAUACAUCACUAUCUAUCAGCCUAUCAACUUAAUGCCAGGAAGGUGACUAGGUGAUGGUAAGACAAAGAAAGCAGAGAGUACACCAUACUUUCUCUGUCCCAUUCAGAGUAGCUGCAGUACCAUUCAGAAUCAGGGACCCACUCAUUACUUCCAUGGACUACGAGUUGAAGGACUAGUCAAGACUAGUCUAUACUAGUCUAUGAGUCGCAACUCCAGGGCCGACUACACUUCAGUGUCGACUAGUCUAUGAAUCGCAACUUUAGUGUUGACUUGUCACGAUUAGUCACGACUAGUCUAUGAGUCUCAACAUUGGAAUAACUAGUCGACUCGUCAACCUUGAUUACUUCACCCAAGUGCAGUGCACUAUCACUAGGGGCCUCUGCAUUAUACCUUAUAAAGCAGUUGCAACUGACCCUACUGCAUAAAUGAAGUAAAUCAAAUGCAGUUAACCAAAAAAGGCAUUUGAUUAACGAUGUUUGGUUCAACAGUAACCACAGAAAGAAACACAGAACAUAAGAUCCUCCAAGGCAAACCUCAAGCAGAAGGUAGUGGCAAAUCAUAACAUUCCUUGGCCAUGUGAACGCACUGUAACCAAUGUAGAACCUCCACAUUAGGGUCCUCCUCUAGAACCACGUCUCGAGCAGCAAUUUGAAUUGCACCACGGUACAUGACAAUCCUCCCACGAACCCUCAACAGGGUGCCCAGGCGUACGACCUCCGACAUUUUCGAUACCAUCUCUCCAGUUGGAUCAGAAUCGGAUGAACUGUUUGCAUUCAGGUACUGGUGGUUCAGCCACAGGACACAUGGUACACAGCCAGUGCCAUCAUCAAUCAGGAAGCGCAGAAACUUCUCCCUGCGGUCACGUGAAACAACGACCCCAACAACCUCGGCACG
rnacentral:lncRNA from 1 species